ensembl:misc_RNA Metazoa_SRP Metazoan signal recognition particle RNA
GCUGGGCAUGGUGGCUUAUGCCUGUAAUCCCAGCACUUUGGGAGGCUGAGGCUGGAGGAUCACUUGAGCCCAGGAAUUCGAGACCAGCCUGGGCAACGUAGUGAGACCCUGUCUCUA